rnacentral:misc_RNA from 1 species
UCGGGGGUUCGUGCCCCCCGUUGGGCGCCA